GUACGCCUACGGGACGCAGCAGUGAGGAAUAUUGGUCAAUGGGCGGAAGCCUGAACCAGCCACGUAGCGUGCGGGAUGAAGGCCCUACGGGUCGUAACCCGCUUUUGCACGGGGAUAACACCCUCCACUUGUGGAGGUCUGCAGGUACCGUGCGAAUCAGGGCCGGCUAAUUCCGUGCCAGCAGCCGCGGUAAUACGGAAGGCCCGCGCGUUAUCCGGAUUCAUUGGGCUUAAAGGGAGCGUAGGCGGGCGUUCAAGUCAGCUGUCAAAUCGCGCGGCUCACCCGCGCCCCGCAGCUGAAACUGG
rnacentral:rRNA from 1 species